rnacentral:rRNA from 1 species
UACAGAGGUCUCAAGCGUUGUUCGGAUUCAUUGGGCGUAAAGGGUGCGUAGGCGGCGCGGUAAGUCGGGUGUGAAAUCUUGGAGCUUAACUCCGAAACUGCAUUCGAUACUGCCGUGCUUGAGGACUGGAGAGGAGACUGGAAUUUACGGUGUAGCGGUGAAAUGCGUAGAUAUCUGGAGGAACACCGGUGGCGAAGGCGGCAUCCUGGACCAAUUCUGACGCUGAGGAGCGAAAGCCAGGGGAGCAAACGGG